UACGGAGGGAGCUAGCGUUGUUCGGAAUUACUGGGCGUAAAGGGCUCGUAGGCGGCCAACUAAGUCGGACGUGAAAUCCCCAGGCUCAACCUGGGAACUGCGUCCGAUACUGGAUGGCUUGAAUCCGGGAGAGGGAUGCAGAAUUCCAGGUGUAGCGGUGAAAUGCGUAGAUAUGUGGAGGAACACCGAUGGCGAAGGCAGCCCCCUGGGUCAAGACUGACGCUCAUGCACGAAAGCGUGGGGAGCAAACAGG
rnacentral:rRNA from 1 species